rnacentral:tRNA from 1 species
GGGUGUAGCUCAGUCUGGUAGAGCGCUACGUUCGGGACGUAGAGGUCGCAGGUUCGAAUCCUGGCGUGAAACCGCCG